rnacentral:rRNA from 1 species
AGCUCCGCCAGUGUAUAUCUAUGCUGCUGCGGUUAAAAAGCUCGUAGUUGGAUCUGCGUGGCGUCGGCCGGUCCGCCCUCGCGGGCGUGCACUGGUACGUGCCACUCAUAGAUGGUACGCUCCUGGUGCCCUUAACCGGGUGUCUUGAGUGGCCAUCGAGUUUACUUUGAAAAAAUUAGAGUGCUCAAAACAAGCUUCUCGCUUGAAUAUUCGUGCAUGGAAUAAUAGAAUAGGACCUUGGUUCUAUUUUGUUGGUUUUCGGAACACGAGGUAAUGAUUAAGAGGGACAGACGGGGGCAUUCGUAUUGCGACGUUAGAGGUGAAAUUCUUGGAUCGUCGCAAGACGGACUACUGCGAAAGCAUUUGCCAAGAAUGUUUUCAUUAAUCAAGAACGAAAGUA